rnacentral:rRNA from 1 species
ACCCCAGCUCAGGCAAGGGUACCCGCCGAGUUUAA